AGCACAGAAAGGUUAAGGCAUUUUCUUAACGUAACGUGGCCAAGAAGUGGUGGCCUUCUGGCCUUCUAAUCUGCAGUUAAACAAUAUGCUCUCCAUAUUAAGUUACCUUCGUUUCUCUGAGGAGCUCUUCACACCACCAUUCUGGAAGUCAACUCAAAGAGCAAUCCAUUUUUUGUUGCAAAAUUAUGCUUUUAAGCACUGAGGAUGGCCCCCAAACGCCAGUCUUCACUCCCAUCUCAAACGAAGAAACCAAGACUGCCUCCUGCCCCCAAGCCGGAGAAGACGUCGACCUCUCUGGACGUGCCCAAGAGAAAAAGAACAGCAAGAAGCAAUUGAACAUAUUGAUGAAGUACAAAAUGAAAUAGACAGACUUAAUGAACAAGCCAGUGAGGAGAUUUUGAAA